rnacentral:lncRNA from 1 species
AAACCGUAAAGGUUAAAAAAAAAACCUGAAAUAAUACCCACAUUAUGGACUAUUCAUCCCCACUCACUCCUUCAUAAAUGAUUCUCCUCCUAUUUUUUUACUUACGAACUUUGUUCAAUGCGUGGGCUUAAAAUUUUUGCAAUUUCACAUCUUCAAUUCAAGGUAUCCAUAGUGAUUCUAUAUUCGUGCACUAGGAAGUUCAAUUUUGAAGUAAAAUUUUGAAUUGCUAAAAGUUCGUCGGCGACAAUAUUGUUAAACCAUGGUUAUGGAUUCAAAAUAAUCGGUUCAUAAUUUCAUCCAAAAAAUGUGCUCCUUUUUUAUUCGAAAAAUUGUAGGUUCUGCAUUUUAAUUUUUAUUAAUUUACUUCUAAGUAGGUUUUGUUUGUUUUGUAUUUUUGCAGCAUUUUUCACAAGGAGGAUCUGUGAGAGAAUUCUUCUAAUGUGAUCGACGAAGGGAAUAUAUAUUCAGUAGUAAGGUAAGUUUUAUUUUGCAUAUUUUCCCUUUAUUUAUCCAAUUUGGGUAUUAUUCUUCUUAUUCUAUUGAGUUUAAUAGUAGCAACUUUUUUGGAUCUUCUUCUUUUUCUUCCUUUGGGCUAAUUCUUUCAAGACCUUUGGCGAAAAUCCUCUACACCACUAUUUUUACCAUUGCGCUAACUGCUAAGAUCACUACUUCUACUUGCGGAACAAAUUGAAUAAAAGUUCAAUAUUAAAAUUUCCAUCCAAUCGGACCUUCUUUUGGAAGAGUCUAUUUCAAUUCAACGGUGCAAGCUUAUGUCAUUU